UUGCGAAGGGUGGAGAUGAAAGAUAAUGGGGAGCUGCCAUUGUUUCCUUGUGUUCUACUUGUUGACAGAGAUGAUACAAGUAAGCUAUUGACAACUUGGUUAUCAGCGGAUCCGAGUCACAGACGUAUUGACAACUAUGCAGUAAACAGCAAACUAUUGACAGGAAGACUGAACGAACGUGUCCUCCCUAGCGCAGUCAAGAACAAAGAGCAGAAAAACCCUAACCCCUUUGGCAAGAGGAGAGAGAGAGUGGGGGAGAGGGGGACGGGGAGAGAGAUGUGGAGGUUGUCGGCGAGGGAUCUGUUGCGGAGGGCUUCAAUCAGGAGGAAAUGGGCUGCAGAGGUAAUCACCAUCCGACCAACACUCAUUUCAACUUCUUUUCCAUCGCUUGAUCCCUUGAGAGACGCUACCCAGUCUAAUCCCUUUGUACCAAGUCAUCGGUUUCUCUCUCUAGAAAGCCAACGCAUCGAAUCAGUUGCAUCCGGAGAUGCAAGUUCCCCUGUCGGUGGUGAUCACAGAGGUCCAAGCUGUCACUCGGAAGAAUCACGCUUUACAGAUACCGCUGUUAGCAAUUCCGUCAAUAUCGACGAUGAGGAAGAAGGGAGAAAUGAUGGGGGUGGCCGAAAAAGUAGCUUGUUAUUUGACGAAGGCGCCAGGGAAAGGUUGCCCGAGGAAAACCCAACUACAGAAACCCUAGGAAACAAGAUAGAAGAUAAUCCUUCUGAGGGAGUCACAGACAACACAUUCGAGGAGCCCAUAGAGCGCCCAUUGGAUGACGGGGCAGAGAACCAAAUUGAAGGAACUCUAGAAAGUCCACUAGAGGUUAGUGAAGAACAAGUUCAGAGCGUUCUGUCGAUUCUCCAGAGCACUUCGGAUGGGUCGAUUGAAUCGUCGCUGGACGGGAUAGAUGUGGACUUGAGCGAGGAGUUUGUCCUUCGUGUUUUAGGAGAACCCCAUAUUAUGACUCAGAGUCUCGUUGCGUUCUUCAAAUGGGCUUCGACGAAAACGGAACUCACGGAAAAGGCUACAGCUAUCGAGCUUUUGGUUUGUGCACUUGGUGUAAAUCUUAGGAAGAAUGACGCGUAUUCCUUGUGGGAUUUUAUCAAAGAAUCAAUGGAGAAAGAUAAGAGCUCAGUGAGUACCAAAGCUCUCAAGGAGUUGAUUUCAGUGUUUAGGAGAUUAGGAAAAGCUAGGGCUGCACUGGAAGUGUUCAACAAGUUUGAUGAUUAUGGCUAUGACCGGGACCCGGACACUUAUUACUUUACAAUCGACGCAUUAUGCUGUCGAAAGAUGUAUGAUGAUGCAUGGUUGCUUUGUGAGGAGAUGCUUAAUUUAGGAAAGCUUCCAGGUGGUCAGAAAAUCGGCGAGCUGAUCGUUUAUUUCUGCAGGGGAGGCAGAGCAAAGGAUGCUCAUUUGAUUUACUUGGUGGCAAAAGAGAAGAACAUACAAUUGCAAAAGUCUGUUGUUAGUUUCUUGGUCAGUAGUCUCUGUAGGGAUGAUAAGACGGUUCAUUUAGGCGAGGAGAUACUAAAUGAUUUUGUUGGAGAUGCUAGGAAAUAUGCAAUUAAGCCAUUCUCAUCUGUCAGUCGGGGACUUUGUAGGAUUAAAGAUCUUGAUUCGGCUAAAAGUUUAUUGCUUAAGAUGGUAGAUAUGGGUCCUCCACCUGGUAACCCAGUAUUCAAUUCCGUCAUCAAUGGGCUUUCUAGAACUGGGAAGCUGGAAGAGGCAAUUGCAAUGAUGAGACUGAUGGAGACGAGAGGGUUGAGACCAGAUGUUUAUACUUACACCGUUAUUUUGGGUGGAUUUGCAAAGAACGGUCAAAUGGACGAAGCCUGCAAGUAUUUCUCAGAGGCAAAACAGAGACAUUCUAAGCUCACACCUGUUACUUAUCAUGCUAUGAUUCGUGGAUACGUGAAGCUGGAGAAUUAUGACAAGGCAGUCGAGCUUUUGAAUGAGAUGAAGGAGUAUGGGGUUUCCCCAACUACUGAUGAGUACACAAAGCUGAUCCAGUCACUUUGCAAAAAAGCACUGGACUGGAAAACGGCAGAGAAGCUAUUGGAGGACAUGAAAAAGAAUGGACAGCAUCUCGAUGGGCUGACUAGCAGCCUUGUGGCUGCAGUCAAGGAAUUGUUUGAGGAAGAAGUGAAUUUUGGAAGUGAAAGCAUCGAAGUUCCAUCAUAACUAAAAGAAUUUUCAUUUUGCUUGUUUGUUUAGACUUGGAGUUCUUCACAUGUAUGAGAGACAUUGCCUUGGAGAGAAGGCUUCAGAUCACUCAAAGCAUGUUUUGGAGUAAUUCAGGCUGUUUGCGGUUCUUUUCACUGGUCAUCCACGAGGAAGUGAAAUUGUUCCACUGUUACUGCUGGCAAAUGGGAUGGAGAGUGUUGCUACUCCGUGAUUGGCACCAGGGAGAGAAUUUGCACUGACGUGAGUAAAGCUUCUAUAUGCUUAACUUAGUCUUUAUCUUCCUGGUCAGAUAUUUUGGGAAACCGCUGUCUCAUCUCUUUCCCUCACCCACCACUGAGCUCCUCCGGUGACUAAUUCUCUCUCUCUCUCUCUCUCUCUCUCUCUUAGCUGUGUCAGCGCAACGUCUAAAAGCUGGACGGACAUCUGGUUUUUAACAAUGUUCUGAGGAAAUAAUUUUCACUUGCGUCGGAUCUUGUCUUUACCUUCUUGCAGCAAUGGAUCUAUAUUGCACACAAAUUGGUCAUGGUGCAUUUUAUCAAUUCCACAUGCGACGCUUGAAUCUUUGUAACUUCUACUGGGAGGAGAUCUUUUGGUUUUGUUUGUUCUUUGUUUAUUGAGAUGGAAACAAUUCGAUCUUCUCAUAGCACUAUAUGUAAUUGGAUGAGAUAGAUGUCUCUUAUGUGUAAUGCUGUGCCGCUGCAAAAAAAUGUUCCUUUGUGCGGACAUAAAUUUUGGUUAGUGUCUCUU